ensembl:snRNA U6 U6 spliceosomal RNA
GUGCUUGUUUCUGCAGCACAUAUACUAAAAUUGGAAUGACGCAGAGAAGGUUAGCAUGGCCCCUGCGCACAGAUGAUACACAAAUUUGUGAAGCAUUCCAUAUUUUU